AGUCAAGCCGGAAGGAAGUGUUAAUAUUGAAAAGAGAAAAAUCCGCUCCAAGCCGAUGGAUGCCAUCCAUCUGAAUGGCCCUGUAGCGGUAGUGUAGCAUCAUCAUUUCAUAAUAAAUAAUAAAAAUUGAAAUUUGAAUCCUCAAAACUAAACCGAGAAAAGAAUCUUCAGAUUCAUGGCGUCGCGGUUGCAAAUUAAGGGCGAUGACUCAGUGCUGCUCCGAGUCACUCACUCCAAUCUUAAAAGCUUCAACACCGAUGUUCGAUUCUCUCUACAGAUGAGCGUGGAAGCGGUGAAAGAGAAGCUAUGGAAGAAAUGUGGGACUUCAGUAAAUUCAAUGCAGUUAGAGUUAUACGAUGAUUGUAAAAAUAAACUUUGUGAUUUAAGUGAUGAUUCAACACCUCUCGGUUUCUAUUCUCCACUUGAUGGGUUCCGAAUUCACGUUAUAGAUCUUGAUCCUUCAUCAGUAACCUCUGGAGGAUGGCUUGAAGAUACUUCAUUAGUCGAAAAGUACUCCAUUUCUGAAGAUGAAUACAAUAAACGUUCCGGUACUUUUAGGAAAUUCAAGGAAAAAAUGGCAUCUCAAAAUCCAUCUGCAUUUAGGAAUAAAAUGUCAGAUGACUACAUGGAAGACCUCUGUGCAAAUAUCAAGGUAGGAGACAGAUGUGAAGUUGAACCAGGGGAGAAAAGAGGGGUUGUCAAAUAUGUGGGUCGAGCAGAAGCAUUAGGGCCAGGCUUCUGGAUUGGAGUUCAGUAUGAUGAACCGUUAGGAAAACAUGAUGGCAUGGUGAAAGGAACACGAUAUUUUCAAUGCCCUCAGCUUUGUGGUGCAAUGGUUAGGCCUGACAAAGUAAAGGUUUGUAUGCAACUAUGUUAAAUGAUCUAAGCAUUUUGGGGUUCCUCCGAGGCCUUUUCUAGUUCAAAUGUAUUAGGUUGGUGACUAUCCUGAGCGAGAUCCUUUUGAGGAGGAUGAAUUAUAAUUGUGUUCAUGAAUGGGUACUGCUGCAUUCUAUGCGGUAUAAAUAACCUUAAUGAGAUUGGUAAUGAUUUUUCAUUUAUGUUUGAUAUUGUUGUGACAUAUUUGGUUGGGAAUGAUGUGUGAGAUUGUUUGGAAGAUAAGAAACUUUUAAGCUUCAAGAAGAUAGUAUUUGCCUUUUUGUGUUUGCCUCUUGACUAUUGUUGUAGCAAAAGAAUAGAAAUGAUCCCAAAAGGGGAAGGAUACCUACCUAGGUUCUUCUUGUUUCUUUUGUACCCUGGCUUGGAAAAAGAAAACUAUUAUUGUAGUUUGAUUGCUUAAAAAAAUACAAAUUGAGCUCUGUUGAAGCUCGCUUAAAUUGCACCAGAUUUUCUGUUGGCAUUGGAAUUUAUUUUUGAAUCAUUUUUUGAAAGGCUUUUUGUACUCACCUUGUGGUAACUAGUGCUUUCAAACACAUAAUGGAUUCCAAAGUAGCCAACAGGUGACUGUCUUUCAUUCAGAGACAUGGUUGGGAAGAUUAGGUAAAGCUGGAAAAUAAGAUGUAGAGGUGCAAGUAUUUUGCAGGUAACCUUAAUGGAAGAGGAUGCACGGUAACAAAAUUUUCCAAUGGAUUGGGU